AACGGCCGUACCAUGCUGAAUAUACCGGUUCUCGUUAGAUCACCGAAGUUAAGCAUCAUUGGGCGCGGUCAGUACUUGGGUGGGUGACCACCUGAGAACCCUGCGUGCCGUU